AGUGAACGCUGGCGGUAGGCCUAACACAUGCAAGUCGAACGGCAGCACAGUAAGAGCUUGCUCUUACGGGUGGCGAGUGGCGGACGGGUGAGGAAUACAUCGGAAUCUACUUUUUCGUGGGGGAUAACGUAGGGAAACUUACGCUAAUACCGCAUACGACCUACGGGUGAAAGCAGGGGAUCUUCGGACCUUGCGCGAUUGAAUGAGCCGAUGUCGGAUUAGCUAGUUGGCGGGGUAAAGGCCCACCAAGGCGACGAUCCGUAGCUGGUCUGAGAGGAUGAACAACCACCAGGGAAAUGAAACACGGGCCAGGCCCCAGAGGGAGGGAGCAGGGGGGAAAUUGGGAAAAUGGGGCCAAGCUUGGCCCCACCCUUCCGGGGGGGAGAAAAGGGCCGUGGGGUUUGAAAGCCCUUUUUUUGGGAAAAAAAAAGAAGGAGUUUAAUCCCCCGUUGUCCGGAGGUACCCAAAAAAAAAACACCGGCUAACUUUGGGC
rnacentral:rRNA from 1 species